CGCAUUGAUAUAAGGAAGCCACCGAGCCAAGCAGCAUCAUUCGUGUGGCGAAGACCAGAGGCUUCACACACACGCACCUGACCACUGGCACCUGUACUCUCUUCAUUAGCAGGGAUGCGGUCAAUGGGUGUGGUAGUGGCGGUGGUGGUGCUGGCGUUGGCGGCCACGCGCUCCACGGGGCUGAAGUGCAAACCCCAGAACUGCGCGCUCCUUCAAUGCGGGGUCCCUCUAUGCCCACCCGGGUUCAAGUUGGGUUCGAUUCCUUGCUCGUGUUGUCCUGGCUGCGUCCCGGACCCUGAUGACCAGCAAGAGUAUUACCCAGCGCUGGAGAGGGACAAGCGCAAGAUUGGAUCUCGACAGCGCCUCGCCAAGCAACACCGCCAUCUCGCCUCCGGCUUCAACGGGCCCUCAGGGUUUGAAGAACUCCUGAGGAAAUUGGAACGGCAGAAGCAGGGGCGUUAAUAAUUGGGUUCCUGCAACAUUGGGGGCUUGGCUCGGUAUUCACGGAUGGAAUCACGCACCGUUGCCAGGUUAUCGUACUGGGAGCAUCACAUUAACCAGCUUCUCCCCCAUAAAUAUCACCAGGAAACAGGAAUAAUAAACCAUUUCAACCAUAACUACAAAUAAAUCUUGUUAUUGCGGGCCAGGAAACAGUUUAUGGGAUGGAAAUCGGGAAAUAUGGGAAACUGAGUACGACGAUCUGGCAACCGGCGGCUUUCACCUCUCACAUCACUUAUACCAAAGGCUGAAAAGGAGGCUGAUCGGGUUUUCAUGAGGGAUUUGUCACGUUCACGGCACAGAGGAAGGAUCGAGCUACCACCAUCUCCUCACGUCCUAUCCAGAAGCUCUUUGGUGUCUCAUUUCUAUCGCACUCUUCUUCUCCUCUGUUCGCUCUUCCUCUCUCCUGUCUUGCCCAUUUGAAACUCUCCUUUUCACCUUUCCAGAAGCUCUUUGGCAUCUUCCCUGUCUGUCACACUUUUCAGAUCUGUUCUCUCCUCCUGUUCUCUUUUCCUCUCCCCUCCAGAAUGCUAACGUUGUCCUUGGCUUGCCCAGUUCAAACUCUCCUAUUCAUCAUUCCAGACGCUCUUUGGCAUCUUCUCUGUCCGUCACACUCUUCAGAUCUGUUCUCUCCUCCUGUUCUCUCUCUCUUCCUCUCUCCUGUCCUGCUCAUAAUGGAAUGCUAACGUUGUCCUUGUCUUGCCCAUUUCAAACUCUCCUUUUCAUCUUUCCAGAAGCUCUUUGGCAUCUUCCCUGUCUGUCACACUUUUCAGAUCUGCUCUCUCCUCCUGUUCUCUCUCUCUUCCUCUCUCCUGUCUUGCUCAUAAUGGAAUGCUAACGCUGUCCUUGGCUUGCCCAUUUCAAACUCUCCUUUUCAUCUUUCCAGAAGCUCUUUGGCAUUUUCUCUGUCUGUCACACUCUUCAGAUCUGUUCUCUCCUCCUGUUCUCUUUUCCUCUCCCCUCCAGAAUGCUAACGUUGUCCUUGUCUUGCCCAUUUGAAACUCUCCUUUUCAUCAUCCCAGAAGCUCUUUGGCAUCUUCUCUGUCUGUCACACUCUUCAGAUCUGUUCUCUCCUCCUGCUCUCUCUCUCUUCCUCUCUCCUGUCCUGCUCAUAAGAGAAUCCUAACGUUGUCCUUGUCUUGCCCAUUUCAAACUCUCCUUUUCAUCAUCCCAGAAGCUCUUUGGCAUCUUCUCUGUCUGUCACACUCUUCAGAUCUGUUCUCUCCUCCUGCUCUCUCUCUCUUCCUCUCUCCUGUCCUGCUCAUAAUGGAAUGCUAACGCUGUCCUUGGCUUGCCCAUUUCAAACUCUCCUUUUCAUCAUCCCAGAAGCUCUUUGGCAUCUUCUCUGUCCGUCUCACUCUUCAGAUCUGUUCUCUCCUCCUGUUCUCUCUUCCUCUCUCCUGUCUUGCUCAUAAUGGAAUGCUAACGUUGUCCUUGGCUUGCCCAUUUGAAACUCUCCUUUUCAUCAUCCCAGAAGCUCUUUGGCAUCUUCUCUGUCCGUCACACUCUUCAGAUCUGUUCUCUCUUCCUGUUCUCUCUUCCUCUCUCCUGUCCUGCUCAUAAAAAAAAGAAUCAAUCACCAUUUGAAACAUUCGUACAACAUUUCUGGCUAUAGCCCCCAAUGCCCAGGACGGACUGUACCAAUACCCAAUGACUACUAUUGUCGCACUGAAAAAGGAUUAAAAAGGCUAUUGACUACUCAGACUGGGCUACGUUUACUGCUACAAAGGAAAUAGCUUGGGAGCAAACAAAAAAAAAACAAUAAAAAACUAAAAAACAAGUCCACUAAUCGCUGUUCCUGCAAAAGUAAGCAGCAGAAGUGGGCAGAAGAGAAGAGCAAUGGUUUUAUAAUAUGCAUAACUUAAGGUGCUAGAGAAAAGAUAAAUACUUCUGAUGAUUAAGGUGAAUGUUGCAACGCUAACAUUCGUCUUGGGGUGAAAAAAAAUCGAGUAUAUUCAAUUCCUGGCUAGGUUGCUGUUAGUGUGGUUAGCUUAAUAAAACUUCCCAGCAUCA